AGUCGCGCUGCGAAUCCGCCUUCGGCCGGACGGUAGUCCUCCCAGGAGGGAGACGAGGAGCCCCCGAGGAAACCGAGCCCGCGGGGCGGCAGGGGCGGGGGAGCGACAGGAUGUCCGGUUUGCGACCUAAGCGCCAGAGCAUGCAGUGCCGCGCGGUGAGCCCUGCUGCUACGUGCAAUGACAAAGGUCAUUAAAAGCCAUCCUAUAUAGCACAGAAAGCAGAACUGCAGGCUCAGGAAAAAGAACAUAAUAUCAUCUGUGGCUAUUAUGGAUGGCUUACUGUGGACAAGGUAAGCAUUUUACACAUAGUAACUCGUUUAAUCCUGAUAACGGCCCUGUGGGGUUUGUACAUUUAUUACUGUACUCACGAGAGCACAGCCAUAUAUAAGGCCACAGACAAGUCCCUCCUCCAAGUAGUUUGAAAAUGGGGAAAUAACCUAUCUAGAGUUCAAGUAUAAAAGAGACAUAAUGUAUUUGACCAGCUUUAUGGAAGGUCGCCCUAACGUAACAAAACAGCUUCCCUGCCAAGCCCUGAUUGAAAUCAGACUGAAUAUAUAUUUAUAUAUAUUUUAUUCAUAAGAAACAGGCAGAGACACGGAGGGAGGGAGGCGAGGGAGAAGGAGAUGCCCUGUGGGGAGCCCAAUGCGGAACUCGAUCCUGGGACCCCGGGGUCAUGCCCUGAGCCCCAAGCAGACACUCAGCUCAACCACUGAGCCACCCAGGUGUCCCCAGACUGAAUAUAUUAAUGUAUCCAAAGAAAGAAUUUUCAAAAAGAAAAAAAAGUGCAAAAACACCGAAAUACAUUCACAAUUUCUUACCAAGAGGCAGUAAAUCUAGAAGUAAAACAAAAGACACAAAAACAUACAUGCACAAAUACCCCUAACUACUUGAAAAUUAAAAGAAAUUCUGCCUUCCAAAUUCAAUUAAAAUUAAAUCAAAUAUUAAAUACUGUAGAAUAUUAAUACUUAAAAUAUUAAUAAAUGUUAAUAGAAAUAAAACCCUGAUACAUCAAAGCCAGGAAAAUAUGACAAAUUCUAUGCUUAGACAACUUGACUCUGGAAAAUUCAUAGCCUUAAUUCAAUUCAAAUAUUUAUUAAAUGCCUGCUGCAGGAAAACUGUUGAAACUGGGGCAGUUUAUAAAGUGACCCUCAGCCAAUUCCAGAGCUGGAUUUAAUCCUGAACCUUUUAUUUAUAUAAUCGAGUAACUUUGUUUUUCUUUUUAAGUCAGUUUGAGUUGACUUCUUUCAUUUAGAAUGAAAGAGCCUUACUGAAACUAAUAUUACGCUUAUAUAUUAACUAGCUGGAAUUUAAAAGCUUUUAAAAAAAUGGAAUGAAAGAGACUUUAGAGACUUGAGGGCACCUUUUCCCCUGCAACACUUUCUUCCUUUGUUUUAUCCAGCCAUGGCCCUGAGCCUGGUGAAAACAGGGAGGAGACACCCUAGUGGCAGCUGUUCAGGAAGGAGGGACGUGCAAUGUUGCAGCUCUGGGGAGGUAAACAGCAGCUCCUGCCCUUCGCUGGAGAAACGUAUGCUGUAAGCCACUUAUAUGUAGGUUGGGAAAAUAAACAUCUGACAAUUAAAUCUAUUUUCUCUGAUAUCGCAAGUAUCUCAAACACCCAAGCCUGUGUUUAAUCCAAUUUCCUUCAGGCCAAGCUGUAUUUUCUACCUUCAGUUUCCAUGAAAUUCUCCUACAUCCUUUCCCUAAGCUGCCUUUACGUCUUUUGAGUGGGUUUCUGUUUCUUGUAAUCAAUCCCUGACUCUCAUCAAAGGGCAAGGCUUGGCCCAUCCCCUCAUGGAGACUUUUACAUGCUGGAACAAAUGAAUUCACAUCAACCAUGGUGCCAACUGCACACUCUUGUCAAGGAAAGAGGCAGAAGACUUUGGACAAAUUACCAAACAUAACCCAGUCUUGGUUUCCUCACCUAUAAUAUGGGAUUGAGAAUAUGUCCCUGGCAGGGUACUUAUAGGUGUUUGAGCCAGUGGCUGUGAGGCUGGCACGGCCUGUGGCCCUGCAUGGGCAGCGGGGGCUGGGAGGAAAUCCUGGGUGAAAGUACAAGUGCAGGCUCGGAGCAGAGGUCCCUGAGACUCUCCUGCACUUGCAACAUGGGAGGCAACUUGAAAAUACAGACAUCAUGCCCUCUCCUGAAACCACUAAAUCUGUCUUUGAGGGACUAGUUAGGAGUGUGACCUGAAUGAGCCCCGCCUGGAUGACGUCACUUAGCUAAUCUAAGAACAGUCUCGCUGGAGUUCAAGAAUUAGAACUCCAGAAAAGAAAAAGAAUCAAGGUUUGUGGGUGAAGAUAGCAGGCCCGAGGGAUAGCCAGCUGGUCAGAAUCAGUGGGCCAAAUACUGAAGUAUCCAUGCUAUUUAUUUUUGUUGCUUAGAUUUUGGGCUCCACUGUUUUGUGCUUCUACUCUAUUCGUUCAAGCUUUAUGCUCUCGUUUGUUUUCAAAAAUACGUGCACUGGGGCGCUUGGGUAGCUCAGCUGGUUAGGCAUCUGACCCACGAUUUCAGCUCAGGUUACGAUCUCAGGAUUGUGAAAUUGAGCCCCCUGGCAGGCUCCGGGAUGGGCGCGGAACCUGCUUAGGAUUCUCUCUCCCUUUUGCUCUGCCCUUCCACCCCCGCUCUAAAACAAAAACCAAAACAACAAACACCCCGUGCACUUAAAAAAAAAUUUUUUUUUUUUAAGCUCUAGGCUCAAUGUGGGGCUUGAACUCAGGACCCUGAGAUCAAGAGUCAUAUACUCUUCUGACUGAGCCCACCAGGUAGCGCCAAAAUACAUACACUUUUAAGUAAGUUUAGGGCAACUGAAUGGUAAAACUCACUAGCCCAAUGUAGGUAAAAUAUGCAUGUUAGGAGACCAUAGUUAAAAGAAAAACAAAUAAGCAAAACUUGGAAUUUUCCCUGAAUAUAUCAACAUUUUACCUGAACAUAUCAAAAUAUUCAGAUGAAAAUGAAAACCAGUUAAUAAUGUUGUGAUGAGCACUGGGGGUAGUAAGUGAUGACUCAUUAAAUACAACAUCCGAAAGCAGUUUUACCCCAUAUAUUAACUAUUUAGAAUUUAAAUAAAACCUUGAAACAAACAAACCCCCCUCAACAUUGUGAUGAUCAUAAAGUGUGUGAGUAGCUGAUACCAAUUUCUCUGUUGCAGGGAGCGUCUCUGGAAGGCUUGUUACAGCCCAGGCACUGCUCUGAGAGCCUCUUACCAUGACCCCCAUCUUGCGUGUUAGGAAACUGUAGCGUAGAAAGGUGAAGUAAUCGUCCUGAGGUCACACAGCUGAUGAGUGACACAAGUCAGAUGUGCUUGCUGUGCUCCUUGUCACUGUGCUGAGUGCCACUCCCCCUUAGUACAAAAGCUACAAAGGGCAGGUCAGCAGUAGAAUCUCCAUCCGGGUGUGGGAGGCCGUGGUAGGUAGGUCACAGGAACCCGUGCUUCAGGUGUGACCAAGUACAUAUAGUAACUUUGUUUUUCUUUUUUAAGUCAGUUUGAGUUGACUUCUUUCAUUUAGAAUGAAAGAGCCUUACUGAAACUAAUAUUACACUUAUAUAUUAACUAGCUGGAAUUUAAAAGCUUUUAAAAAAAUGACACAGCAGGCUGUGUCAUCAUGAGGAUGGUUACUGAAGUUAAAUAGUGUGUUUGCGUCGGUUCAGGAGAACACUGACACACGACCGGACAGUGAAACCACGCAGAGGGAAGCGCUGUCGCAAACACCAGCAGUUGGGCUGAGUGUGUGUAGUGUGUGAAGGAAAGGACUCCCCACCCACGGGGAGGAGAGGAUUGCCAGCUAGCUCCACAGCUGAAGUGAUCAACAAGGUACUUCUGAUGAACUCUCUCUUAAUAAUUUUUUUUAAUUUAAUUAAAAAAAGUUUUUUAUUUAUCAUUUAUGUAAACUCUACCUUCAACAUGGGGUUUGAACUCACAACCCCAAGAUCAAGAGUUGUGUGUUCUGCCGACAAGCCAGCUGGGCGCCCCUGAAUUUGUUUUCAUUUAUUUCAUGCAAUUCUCUAACACACAAGGGUUGGCAAAUGACGGUCCGUGUGCCAAAUUAGGUCCCCCGUCUUUUUUUGUAAAUAUAGUUUUGUCAGAACCGAUGCACUCUUAUCAUCAGUGUGCUGUCUGUGGCUCCCUUCACACUAUAGUGUCCAGAUUGAGAAACCUCAACAGACACGAUGUGGCCCCCAAAGCUGACUAUACUAUCUGACCUUUCAGAGAAAAAAUUUACUGACCUCUGCCCUAAAACAUAUUUCACAAAUCUAGAUUUAAAACUCAAUUUUGUAAAAAGAUAGCAAUGAAGCUCGAAACACGUCCGAGAGCGUUUAUUUCCUUGGAUCAUGGGUGUCCAAAGACAUGGGGAGGUCAGACCACCUGAAAAAGAACAAAGUGUAAGAGACGUGGAUUGAUCCAGAACUGGAUUCCCAGUUACAAGGUCAAUUACUUCCGCAGAGAAUGAAUUGUGUUAACCAGAAGGUUACGGGUGAAGGUAUUCAGAGAACACUAUAUUGCGCUUGAACCAAUAGAAGUACAAAAUAAUUGUGCCAGUGUUUGCCUUUUACAAACCUGAUCUGAUAUUUCUUAUUGCCUGCACAUUUUCUCUAAGAGGGAGCUUGUUUUCACAUACUUGUCGACUAUGAAGAGCCCCGUCUAUGUCAGAAGGAACUCUAAAAUAUUUAUAUGCAUGGUCUGAUGACCUGUGCUUUGUCUCCUUCCCCCUUUUCUUGCGCAGGAAUGGAGCCCUUGAUAUUUAGCCGGGUGCAUCACAGCCCAGAACAAGAGUCAUUUCUGAGCCACUCCGAGAACCAGAGCUCUGAACUACUUGGAUCCUGCCCAUCCAUGUAGUUGGCAGAGAUUCGUAAGGUGGAAGUCGUGCUUGCACUGCCUCCGCGAUGCUACCGCGGGUUUCUGUUUCCCAGUCCCCUGCCCCAGAACAAAACUGCUUUAUGAUUUCGGUGGCUUUCCAGUGGCUAUAGGACCAUCUGCAUGGGCGGCCUCAGUCUGUUGGGCUGUUCUCAAAGGAGUCCUUGACUGUUUCUUCAGUCCUCCCACUGGUCCUCGAAGCCAUAACCAAACCUGUGCUAAAUCCCGUUCUGAUUUAACUAGCUAAAGUGAAUUCUGUUUCCAGCAAGCGAGCUCUGACCAUACAAAGUUUGGAAUUUAGACGUGGGCUGCUGCCCUAAAAGAUAUUAACGGACACUUCCUUGAUUUAGCAGUCCAAGCAGCUGGUGACAAGGGCAGGUCUAACAGUGUGGGAGGCUGGAGACCCUCGUCAUUGGGCGUCCGAGUAUUUGAUAGAUGGUCACCUACAGGGCCCUGCGGGGCAGAUUGCAUAUUGCGGGAGCCUCUAGUGGCAGGUUCAAGGGUGGACAACUUCAUAAUGCUGUAGGCUGGUUGCUUCUGCUACUUUCAGCGAAGUUUUACCAGAGAAAGAUGAACUACAUGUACAUCUGCAAAAAUAAAUGAAAAGAAUGUGUCUGUUAAGGAAAGGACAGCAAUCUAAAGCUCCAGCAGAGUAUCUCACCUGCGGCAGGGAAGCCAAAAUAUUUGUGACCCUAAUAAUUUGGUGCCUUGCAGUGUUGAAAAAGCCAGUUGUGUCUGUACUUUCUCACUUAAGAAUUAUAAGAGUUUGCUCUGGGCAGCCAUGGUGGCGCAGCGGUUUGGUGCCGCCUGCAGCCUGGGGUGUGAUCCUGGAGACCUGGGAUCGAGUCCCAAUCCGGCUCCCUGCAUGGAGCCUGCUUCUCCCCCUCCCUCUGCCUGUGUCUCUGCCUCUCUCUGUGUGUCUAUGAAUAAAUAAAUAAAAUCUUUAAAAAAAAAAAAAA
rnacentral:lncRNA from 1 species